AUUGAACGCUGGCGGCAGGCCUAACACAUGCAAGUCGAGCGGAGCGGCGGACGGGUACGUAAUGCCUAUGAAUCUGCCUGUUAGUGGGGGAUAACGUCCGGAAACGGGCGCUGAUACCGCAUACUAUCAGAUUAGCCUAUGUCGGAUUAGCUAGUUGGUGGGGUAAAGGCCUACCAAGGCGACGAUCCGUAACUGGUCUGAGAGGAUGACCAGCCACACUGGAACUGAGACACGGUCCAGACUCCUACGGGAGGCAGCAGUGGGGAAUAUUGCACAAUGGGCGCAAGCCUGAUGCAGCCAUGCCGCGUGUGUGAAGAAGGCCUUCGGGUUGUAAAGCACUUUCAGCGGGGAGGCGUUACCCGCAGAAGAAGCACCGGCUAACUCCGUGCCAGCCGCCGCGGUAAUAC
rnacentral:rRNA from 1 species